AUUGAACGCUGGCGGCAUGCCUUACACAUGCAAGUCGAACGGCAGCACGGGAGCAAUCCUGGUGGCGAGUGGCGAACGGGUGAGUAAUAUAUCGGAACGUGCCCAGUCGUGGGGGAUAACGUAGCGAAAGCUACGCUAAUACCGCAUACGAUCUAUGGAUGAAAGCGGGGGAUCGCGAGACCUCGCGCGAUUGGAGCGGCCGAUAUCAGAUUAGGUAGUUGGUGGGGUAAAGCCUACCAAGCCUUCGAUCUGUAGCUGGUCUGAGAGGACGACCAGCCACACUGGAACUGAGACACGGUCCAGACUCCUACGGGAGGCAGCAGUGGGGAAUUUUGGACAAUGGGCGCAAGCCUGAUCCAGCAAUGCCGCGUGCAGGAUGAAGGCCUCGGUUGGUAACUAGCUUUGUUACGG
rnacentral:rRNA from 1 species